AUGUCACCAUCCAGAGCUGACAGGCACAGUGGUCUUAGACCUGGAAGCCUCAGAUAUGAACAUCUUGGCAGGAAUCUCCAUCACGUUUCUGGAUAUGGGUUUGGAAUGUGUUCACCGACCUGCCCUUUACAAUUCAUUGAUUUUUGGGUUUGUUUACUUUUUCAACUCAUUCUCCAGGCAAGACGCAGUUUCUUCCUCCAGGACACUUCCUUGGAUUCAGCCUUCCCAGGCCAACUUGCCAAAUUAAUGAGGAAUAAAGCUUCCGUCUACUCAACAGCUACCACCCUCUUCCCAUGGAUCGCGACUGAAAUGUACUGCUGCAAUGCCAUUCACGGCCUGGGAUAAAAAGAUGAGAAACUGAGGCCUGGAGAAGGCCCCACAGAUGGUUGAGGAGAGCCAGAUCAUGAACCAACAUCAUGGCACAUCUCGCCUGAAGAACCCACACCAGUUCCAGAGCCUUCAGGAAGUCCUUCCCAUCUACUCACUUCUUCCUGCCUCCAGUGGUUCUGGAAGAAUUCAGAGAAUGCCUCAUUUGCAGGGCUAAAAGAAGCCUAUGGAGGCUUCCAUUCCUGUCCUGGGCAUGUAGGCACAAACAAGAGUCAUCUCUACCCCCAGUAAGAAGGGUUACUGCAUAAGUGAGCACAACAGAAGAGAAGCCUGCCCAAGGCCUCCCCAGAGAUUUGGCUUUCUGCGUCCUGAAAAUUGGUUUCACCUAAGCCAAGAAACCAGUUAUCAGAUGGGAAUGGCAUUCUGUCAUCCCAGCCUGGGUCACCAGACGCCUAGAGGUGAGAGUCUUUGGGACAUAUUUCCCUGAUUAAACCAUCAUGGCAUCCUUCUGACAUGUAAGUGUGGAAGAAAGGAAUGUGUUACCGGGACCCAGUGAACAAAUCUUUUUAUAGCAUGACGUUGGACAUGAGGAUGUGGAUGCCUGAACACUAACAACACUUCAGUAAAGAACUAUCUUCAGUAGAGGCCCUCCCAAAUGCCAUCCCACAGUGACACAGAGGGAACAGUCUGAAGAAACUGCAAAGAGCUGCAUUAUUUGUAAGCAGAAAGUGGGAACCAGUUUGUAUCACAGCUGCUGAGGACAGAACAAAAACAAGUGGGCCUGAGAAGAUCAGAAGGAAAUAUGGGCCAACGGAGACUGCAGACUCUCUGUUUCCCAUUGUAGAUUUUUAAAACAUGAUAGUUUCUUCUAUCUGGGGAACUAUUUAAUUGUGGUCACUUUUGAAGGCAGAAGCCUAGUCUCCAGUUGGGGGAAUGGGACCAAUAUGGAUAAUAUAGCUUAAUCUGAUGCAGUCAAGAAGGGGUGGAGCAAGGAAAUGAAUAUUUAUUGAUUGUCUAUGAUG
rnacentral:lncRNA from 1 species